AAAUAGAAAGGGCAAACAUACCAAAAGGUAUGGACGCAAAGCCAUGGGUCUAAGGAUAUAGUAUUUAUAUCUAUGAUUGCCAGGUUGCCAUU
rnacentral:ncRNA from 1 species